GGGGGUAUAGCUCAGGGGUAGAGCGCUCGCUUAGCAUGGAGAGGGCUGGGGUUCGAUUCCCCAUACCUCCA
rfam:Steinernema glaseri strain NC unplaced genomic scaffold GLAS_2294, whole genome shotgun sequence.